rnacentral:misc_RNA from 1 species
GAAAUGCGAUAAGUAAUGUGAAUUGCAGAAUUCAGUUAAUCAUCGAAUCUUUGAACGCACAUUGCGCCCGCCAGUAUUCUGGCGGGCAUGCCUGUCCGAGCGUCAUUUCAACCAUCAAGCCCCCGGGCUUGUGUUGGGGACCUGCGGCUGCCCGCAGGCCCUGAAAACCAGUGGCGGGCUCGCUGUCACACCGAGCGUAGUAGCAAUCACCUCGCUCAGGGCGUGCUGCGGGUUCCGGCCGUUAAACAGCCUUACAAAACCCAAGGUUGACCUCGGAUCAGGUAGGAAGACCCGCUGAACUUAAGC